ensembl:lncRNA
AGUUAAAUACAGAUUCAAAAUGGUUCGCUUUAACUUAUUGUUAAUGUGGAAAACUGAUGAAAAACCAUGUUACAUAAUUCUAUUUCUGAUCAUCUCUCUAUGAAGAAACACCCACUAUUGUCAAGUUGCAUAAAAAUAGCUUUUGUCAUGAACAUGUGAAUAUGAUUCCUGAGUCACACCUUGUUGCACCUUAUAAAAGUAGCUUAGCUUUUGGGCAAAUCAUCUUCCAGAGAGACAGAGCCUGUUGUCAUUAAGGAUAUUGCUGAGAGAGUUACAGGGAACAGAUUAUUGUUUGAGAUCAGAUGGUUAUGACUAAAAUAAGGUUUGUCUUUUUAAAAAAGAAUGGCACCAGUAACACUACUGCCUUCACAAUAUUAUGUCUAUGGAUGCUGCUUAGUGGGAUUGCAGCCCAAAGUACAAUACCAUUUACAACAGAAACCGCAGAAGGGACAAACACAACUGAGGAAACUAUGACAGCUACAACUGUACCAACAACAAUAAAAGUAACAGAACUGACCAGUACUACUGAGUACACAACACAGGAUACAAAAAACAAACAGCUCACAAUAAUAGAAUCAACUGCAUCUACAACAACUGUAGCCACAACUACUUCAAACCAGGAACCAAGUGCUACCGAUGAAACAACUACAGCUACAACUGUACUGACAACAGAGCAAACAACAGAACUAUCAAGUACACAGGCUACAACAAGAACAGAACCAACAACAUAUGAAACAACUGCAUUUACAUCUACACCAGCUCCAACCACAACAAUUGAGGAAGCAACAACUAUAGAGGAAACAACCACAGCUACAACUACAACUUUAAAUACAGCAGCAACAACAGAAUUAACCACUUCCACAGUACCAACUACACAGACUACAACAAGCACAGGACCAAC